rnacentral:misc_RNA from 1 species
AUCCGCCAACGCAUCCGAUCCCGCUACACCCUCUCCCCCGCCCACACACACGCGCACACCGCCGUGCACAAGCCCUCGCCCUCGCCCUCGCCGUCGCCACCACACCCCACUGCCCACAGCGCCCCCGCGCCUGCAGAGCCAUGUCCGUCGACAGCAGCAGCACGCACCGGCACCGCAGCGUCGCCGCGCGCCUGGUGCGCCUCGCGGCUGCCGGCGCCGCAGUCAUCGCUGCUGUCGGCACCGCGGCCGCGUGGGCACACGCCGGUGCGGUGCAGCACCGCUGCAUCCACGACGCGAUGCAGGCACGCGUGCGGCAGUCGGUGGCGCGCCACCACACGGCCCCCGGCGCCGUGUCCGCGGUGGGCCUGUCGUACGUUACUCUCGACACCGCGGCCGCCGCGAUCGCCGGCCGGGCAGCGCGCCCACAGUCGUGCGCGCCGCGAACUGGGGCGCGCUGCGCAUCGCCGUCUCCACCGAGGACCUCACCGACCCCGCCUACCACUGCGCUCGCGUCGGGCAGCGUGUAAACAACCACGCAGGCGCCAUCGCCACCUGCACCGCCGAGGACAUCCUCACCGACGAGAAGCGCGACAUCCUGGUCAAAUACCUCAUCCCGCAGGCGCUGCAGCUGCACACGGAGCGGCUGAAGGUGCGGCAGGUGCAGGACAAGUGGAAGGUGACGGGCAUGGUGGGCGAUAUUUGUGGCCACUUCAAGGUGCCGCAGGCGCACAUCACCGAUGGCCUGAGCAACACCGACUUCGUGAUGUACGUCGCCUCCGUGCCGAGCGAGGGGGAUGUGCUGGCGUGGGCCACGACCUGCCAGGUGUUCUCUGACGGCCAUCCAGCCGUGGGCGUCAUCAACAUCCCCGCGGCGAACAUUGCGUCGCGGUACGACCAGCGGGUGACGCGUGUCGUCACGCACGAGAUGGCGCACGCGCUCGGCUUCAGCGCACAUUCUUUACAGACAAGCGCAUGCUGCACAAUGUGGAGAAAAUACGAGGAAAGCCGCAUAACGCUCCCGUGAUCCACAGCAGCACGGCGGUGGCGAAGGCGCGCGAGCAGUACGGCUGCGGCACCUUGGAGUAUCUGGAGAUGGAGGAUGAGGGCGGUGCGGUCUCCGCCGGGUCGCACAUCAAGAUGCGCAACGCGCAGGACGAGCUCAUGGCGCCUGCCGCAGCUGCCGGGUACUACAGCGCCCUGACCAUGGCCAUCUUCCAGGACCUCGGCUUCUACCAGGCGGACUUCAGCAAGGCCGAGGAGAUGCCGUGGGGCCGGAACGCCGGCUGCGCCUUCCUCAGCGAGAAGUGCAUGGAGCAGAACAUCACGAAGUGGCCAGCGAUGUUCUGCAACGAUGACGCCCUGCGCUGCCCCACCAGUCGUCUCAGCCUGGCGUGUGCGGUUUGGCAUCCAACGAUUUCCGAUGCGCGUACUGGCAGUACUUCACGGACCCGUCCCUCGCCGGCAUCUCCGCCUUCAUGGACUACUGCCCUGUCGUGGUGCCCUUCGGAUGGCAGCUGCGCACAGAAUGCCUCUAAGGUGAUCGCAGCUGUGCAGGCAUUUAACGUCUUCUCCGACGCGGCGCGCUGCAUCGAUGGCGCCUUCAGGCCGAAGACGACCGAAACCGUAACAAAUUCGUACGCCGGACUGUGCGCCAACGUGCGGUGCGACACGGCCACGCGCACGUACAGCGUGCAGGUGCACGGCGGCAGCGGCUACGCCAACUGCACGCCGGGCCUCAGAGUUGAGCUGAGCACCGUGAGCAGCGCCUUCGAGGAGGGCGGCUACAUCACGUGCCCGCCGUACGUGGAGGUGUGCCAGGGCAACGUGCAGGCUGCCAAGGACGGCGGCAACGCCGCGGCUGGUCGCCGUGGUCCGCGCGCCGCGGCGACGGCGCUGCUGGUGGCCGCGCUGCUGGCCGUGGCGCUCUAGACGGUGGAUAGGACGGGUGCUGAUGGCGUGUCCCCUGCUCCCCCCUCCCUCCCUCCCUCUCGUUGUCUCUCGGAAGAGCUCCACGCUGUCCUUUCAUCUCCUCGCCUGUUCUACGCUUGCUUCGCUGCGCCGCUGCACCGGGCCGGUCCUCGCCGACCCUCGCCUGCCCUCUCCCCCUCCUCUCUCCCGCCACCCCACCCCGCUUCCCGCUGCGCACGGUGCCUGUGCGCUUGGAGAGGUGCAGCAGCGCGCGGGAGCUGAGGGAGGGAGGGGGUGUCGUGCGCGGGUGCGCAUGCCUUCUUUCACUUCCUUAUUUGUCUUCUAUUGUUCCCUGCGACACCCCGCCACCCCCACCCCUGGCGGCCAUCCGCGGCAUCCGCGGGUGCGGGCGCGUGCGUGUGGCACGGUGGUGUCACGCCCGCCGUUUUGCCGAGCCCGGCCGCCACGCGCUGGUCGGGCUUCUGCCUCCUAUUCCAUGGCGUGUGUGUGGGUGUGCGCGGGGUCUGUUAUUGUGGCAGCUGUAUACUGCGCUGCGCCCCCUCCCCUCCCCUCCCCUCCCCCUCGCGGUCCCUCUGUUCUGUGUGUUGUCACCUCUUCGUUGGGGACCUUCUUUCUCUGGGCGCUUCGUGAUGGCUCGCGUUCUUCGCUGUUGCGUGUCCGUCACCGGGGCCUCCCCUCACCGCGCUCCCUCUCCCUCCCGUCUCCCUCGUGGCUCUCUAUACGCCUUCCUUCUACUCUCUUCUGCCCUCCCGCCCAUCGGCCUGACUUCGUCGUUGUGUUGUGUGCGGGUCGCCCUGCGCUGUCAUCUCCUGUGCGUGUCUGUGUGCGGAGCUGUGCAACGUUAUAUCCUUCACUGCGGCGUCAGAGACCCUGCCCGGUGACGCCUCCGCCGCCACAGGUGCCUGUAGGCUGUGGUGGGCGGCACGACAGCAGCUGGCACGCGGCGCCCGCACCCUAUCCGACUCCCUCCCCCUCACCCUCCCAAGCCCUCCGCCUUCCUUCCCUCCUGUUUCUGUGGCUCCGGCCAAACAGCCGAAAUGCGUGAAGCGCAUGCGGGCGCGGUGCGCACACGCGUUCGCGUACGUCUUACCUGCGUGGAAGCCUCGCGUCGCAGCCCGGAGGGGACAUGCGGCAUCCAUGGCGGCGAACGCCGGCGUGAGCUCCGCCCCCGCCCACCCCCUGAGCUCGUGUCCCUCGUGGCCUUCCCUCGCGGUGCGCUGGGCAACGCGGUCACCGCGGCCGAUCCCACCUGUGCGCGCGCAUUUGCAUGGCCGCCCAGGGCCUUGCACGCGCCACUGCGCCGCUUGCUGGGUGAGUGCUGCCAUCAAGAAAACGUGCGUCAGGAUGCAGGCGCUCUCCCCGUGCUGCGGGGCCGGCUUCUGCCCCUCUCUUCCCCGGGCUCGCCGAGGCAGCCCUGUCUUCCAGGCGGGCAUUGCCUGCGGUGGAGCAAAGGUGUGGGAUAGUGAGAGGAGACCUUGCCCACGGCCCCUCCCUUAGCGGGCAUGCGCGGACAGCCAUGUCGCUGUCCGCCUCGCUAUGUCGCCGUCUCACUCCUUCACAUGCACCGCGCUCCCCUAACCCUUCCUCGUGCCCUCACUCAG